rnacentral:rRNA from 1 species
GACGAACGCUGGCGGCGUGCUUAACACAUGCAAGUCGAACGGAAAGGCCCCAGCUUGCUGGGGUACUCGAGUGGCGAACGGGUGAGUAACACGUGGGUGAUCUGCCCUGCACUCUGGGAUAAGCCUGGGAAACUGGGUCUAAUACCGGAUAGGACCGUGCUUUAGUGUGUGCGGUGGAAAGUUUUUCGGUGCAGGAUGAGCCCGCGGCCUAUCAGCUUGUUGGUGGGGUAAUGGCCUACCAAGGCGGCGACGGGUAGCCGGCCUGAGAGGGUGUACGGCCACAUUGGGACUGAGACACGGCCCAGACUCCUACGGGAGGCAGCAGUGGGGAAUAUUGCACAAUGGGCGCAAGCCUGAUGCAGCGACGCCGCGUGGGGGAUGACGGCCUUCGGGUUGUAAACCCCUUUCGGCAGGGACGAAGCUUUUGUGACGGUACCUGCAUAAGAAGCACCGGCUAACUACGUG